GCAGUUGCCCGUGUCUGUUUGGGAGCGAGCGGUGUGAGAAAACAAGAAGCGAGGAAGAGCCGAGAUCGGUUGAGGGUGUGAAAGAGAAUCGAAUCCUUCAGUGGUCCUUCUCUGACGUGAUUGGGAUCUAAAUGAAAAGACAGAGGACUCAAAGGACGCGGCAGAAAAUGAGACGUGAAGUUUACGGAGAACAAGAAAGACGUCAAUGAAGAAAGUUUGGAGAAGUUUCGGGUGGAAUCUGAAGUGAGACGUUCCCCCUCCACCUUGCUCUGCUGCCAGACUGGAGCGCAUUUGCCACCAACUGGACAGGAGGGGGAAUUACAGCUACAAUUUACAAUAGAUCACCCUCAGCGUAAUCUGUCAAAAUGACAGACGGCCUUCAGAUUUUUCCGUCACUGAUUAAAAAUUUCUGUCAAUGAUGGAGAAUUUUCGGUUAACGCGACCUCUUAUAUAUAUAUAUAUACACUCCCCUCCAAAUGUAUUGGAAGAGUGAGGCAAAUUCCUUUAUUUUUGCUGUAAACUAAAAACAUUUGGAUUUGACAUCAAAAGAUGAAUAUGAGACAAGAGAUCAACAUUUCAGGUUUUAUUUCCAGGUAUUUACAUCUGGAUUGACUUAAACUAGAUUUAAGUGAAUAAGACUUAAUAUUUAUUUGCAAAUACUUUGCUUGCAAUAAUUGCUUCAAGCCUGUGACCCAUUGACAUCACCAAACUUUAGCCUUUCUAUCACUUUGGUCUUUGUCUCAUCAGCCUCUGUACUUUCUGGCAAAUUCCAGCCUGGCCUUCUUAUUCUUAGGAGUCUACCCAUUCCAGGUCUGUUACUUACUACACUAGUGGUUUCUUUCUUCCUUAGGAUAUUGCACUGGCUAUAACCAAUGUUUGUGCAAUGCAUCUUCUCUCGGCUUCACAAUCACUUGUUUUUCACCCAUAGACAGCUCUGUGGUUUUCAUGUUGGUUACACGUCUAACUACAAAUGCUGCCAAAACCCAAAUCUGAAACACAGCACAUUCAGUGCUAUUUAUAUUUUGAAUGAUCAAUGUAUUAGGACACACCAGAGCUACAAAACACACCUGUCUGUCACAUGUUCAAAUACUUUUGGUCACAUGAGAAAUGGGUGGGUUCAGAAAAUAUGUGCUCUCUUCUAAGUUGUGUACCAGAUAUAUAUCAUGAUUUCCACAAAAAUAGUAACACAACUGUUUUCAACAUUGAUAUUAAUAAGAUUCCUGAGGACCGAACCAGCAUAUUACAAUGAAGACUUAAAUAAUGAACGCUGAAUAAUUCAGCUUUGUCAUCACAGGAAUAUCUUAUUAUAGAAAGUAAUUAUUAUAAAUUGUAAUAAUAUUUCACAGUAUUACUGUUUUUACUGUUUUUGAUCAAAUGCAUGAAAAUAAAAGCAAAAAAUACAAAAACAGUUAUGAAAACAAUUGUUCCUCUUAAUUUCGAGUUUACAUCUUGCAGUUCUGACUUUUUUUCUCAGAACUGCAAGACACAGACUCGCAG